rnacentral:lncRNA from 1 species
GUAUCUUUUUCUCAUCUGCAUUUCUCCAGGACAGUGCUUAUCCACCUGUUGCAAGGAAUCAUUUGAGCUGUGAAACUCCAUUGCUGCCAUAAGCAAGGCCUUCUGCCUUGCUGACAACCGACGGGUACGGAGGAAGGGUCGUGUAAGCGGUGCACCCGGCUCCGUCGGCCACGCGUUGCCGCUGCCAUCCCCGCCCGGCACGGC